GAUGAACGCUGACAGAAUGCUUAACACAUGCAAGUCAACUUGAACUUCGGUUUGGGUGGCGGACGGGUGAGUAACGCGUAAAGAACUUGCCUCACAGAUAGGGACAACAUUUGGAAACGAAUGCUAAUACCUGAUAUUAUGAUUUUAGGGCAUCCUAGGAUUAUGAAAGCUAUAUGCGCUGUGAGAGAGCUUUGCGUCCCAUUAGCUAGUUGGAGAGGUAACGGCUCACCAAGGCGAUGAUGGGUAGCCGGCCUGAGAGGGUGAUCGGCCACAAGGGGACUGAGACACGGCCCUUACUCCUACGGGAGGCAGCAGUGGGGAAUAUUGGACAAUGGACCAAGAGUCUGAUCCAGCAAUUCUGUGUGCACGUUGAAGUUUUUCGGAAUGUAAAGUGCUUUCAGUUGGGAAGAAAAAAAUGACGGUACCAACAGAAGAAGUGACGGCUAAAUACGUG
rnacentral:rRNA from 1 species